AGCGACACCGUGUAGCUCCAACAGGACACGUCGCUGCACCACGCAUCUCAACAGCUCCCCCGUGCAGCUCCACCGCUCCUUCCUACCCCAAACCCACCUUUCCCCAUUCCCCUUUCUUGAGUCCCUCAUUAUUGCCGUGUUAAGGAGCGCCGCCAAUGUUCACCAACGAGCGCCGCCACGCCCAUGGAAGUAAUCUGCUCCAUCGCUCCCCUCUCCUUUCCUUUGAGUAUUCUAACAGAUCGACCUCUUGCAGCAGAGCAUCUCUGUCGGCUUUCCGUCGCCCGCCGCCUCUCCAACGCUGCCUCAUCCGACAUCCUCUUCCCUGCAUCUCAAAGCGCACGCUAUCGACCAAUUCACAUUGAUGGCGCCACUGUCCCACGGAUGCAGGUACCCUAGGCUCUGUUGGUUUACAAGGUCAAGUUGGUUUCUUCAGUGAGGAGGGGAGAGAAAAGAUUACUACAUCUGGAAAUGGAGGUCAGCACCAUCUACAGGACAUGAGGAGUACUUUGGCGGUUUUAGCUUGUUCUGGGAAGUUAGCUUGAUAGUUUAGCUUGUUUAUGGAGUACAAGUUCCUGAAUAUUAUUACAUGAUCUAGCAACAUGAGCUUCCUUUUUCAA